AAGAUACAACAGGACAGGCUUUGAGGACAGAAACCCAGGGUCACGUUCCUGCUCCAUCACUUUCCAUCAGCAUGGUCUCGGGCAAGGGAAUCGUGUAAGUCUAAAUUUCUUAUUCUCCUAAAUGUGGUGGCCACCUUGUGGGGUUUUAAAAUUAAAUGAGGUCAUCAUAAAAGUACCUUGUAUAGCAUUUGCCAUGUAGUAGCUGCUUACUAAAUGCUAGUUUGAGUCUUUCCUAUCAUAUUCCACCACAGAAGCAGGUAACUGAUCAUCUGGAAACCUGGGGGACAAGAGGGAAGAAAUGACACCUAGGAUGCUCCAUCCUUUCCCUGCAUCCCUUUGUGUUCAGUUCAACAACUUGGUUCUCCUCCUGACCAGCCACUGUGCUUGGCUGAGGACACAAAGGUGAAGGAGACAGUCUAGUAUAAAACAUGACACAGACCAGACCCAAAGGGGAGGAAGAGGUCCUGUAGAAAGGUGAAGGGGCAUCAUUCACCAAGCCUCUCCAGCAUUAACCAGAGACUGCUGGAGGGCAGCGUGAGCCUACGGAAAAGACUCGACAUCCAGGGUUUGGACUUAAAGGCCCUAGUGUGGACUUCUUCAGUGCUCUGAUUCCUUGAAGAUUCUGUUGGCUUGUUCUCAAAACGUAAGCAACUUUCCAGUGCCAACAUAUUGAAUUCCUUGCCCACGGGGCAUUUCUCAUCAUCAUGGGUUGCAAUGUGUGCUGUUGUCUGUUGCUGCAUAAUAAACCAGUAAGUCUGCUUAAGUGGCAUGAAGCAACUAUUUUGUUAUGCACACGAUUCUAUGGAUCAGGAAUUUGGACAGCCCAGCAAGGAUGGCUUGUCUUUGUUCUGUGACGUUGGGGCUUCUGCUGGGUACCAGAACCAUCUGGCAAUUCCUUCACUCACUUGCCUGCUAUUUGGGCCAGGAUGACUUGAAGUUUAAGGCCACUUAGGACAGUCAACAGAGCAUCUACAAGUGGUCUUUCCAUGUGACUCAGGCUUCUUAUAACACAGUAGCUGGGUUCUGAUGGCAUGUUCCAGAAGGGAGCUUCCAGAGAGUGAACAUUGCAACAGAAGCAGGUGGAAGCUGCAUGGCCAUUUAAGGCCUAGAUGCAGAAGUCACAUAGCAUCAGUCCACUGUACUCUACUGGUCAAAGUAGUCAUAACCCAGAUUCAAGGGGAGGAAACACAGAUCCCCAUCCUUGGAUGGGAGAAAUGACAAAGAAUGUGUGGCCAUUUUUAAGAAAUCAUCACAUGUGCACCCAGUGCUAUGUUGUAGCACACUCCAAUUUGUGUAUUUCCAUCCAUUUCACUAAAGGUCUGAAAGCCCAGCAAGCAUGAAUUGAGGUCCAAGGCCCCACUGGUAAGGAGCAGGAGGCCAUUGGCUA
rnacentral:lncRNA from 1 species